CGCUUCAUGGGAUCAUUCUAUGGUGAAAACGCUACAUCAUCAUUCCCGGCACGGAGCCAUCUCCUCAGAGCUCAAGACCGCUCCCCAUAGAUCCCUAGCAGUGACCUUCUCCUCAUAGCUCGAGACCGUCAUCUCCUGCACAACCUGCUCCAGGACCGUCGCUUCCUGCUAUAUCAAGGUCUCCAUCUCCACCACAUCCUGGUGGUGGGAGCGACGACGACAAUAACA
rnacentral:lncRNA from 1 species